AACGGCGAGUGAACAGGGAAGAGCCCAGCGCCGAAGCCUGCGCCCCGCGCGGGCGGCAGGCAAUGUGGCGUUCGGGAGAAACCUCUCCUUCCGGAAGCAGUCCCGGAGCCCAGGUCCCCCUGACCGGGGCCAUCGCCCGCCGAGGGUGCAAGGCCCGUUCGGCUCUGGGCGUCCGGAGGACGGUUCUUCUCUCCCGGGAGUCGGGUUGCUUGGGAGUGCAGCCCUAAGCGGGUGGUAAACUCCAUCUAAGGCUAAAUACUUCCACGAGACCGAUAGCAAACAAGUACCGUGAGGGAAAGUUGCAAAGAACUUUGAAGAGAGAGUUCAAGAGUACGUGAAACCGCUCGUAGGCAAACGGGUGGGCCCUCGAAGGCAAGCAGAAGGGGAUUCAACCCGUUGUUCGACAGCGCUCCCCGGUUUUUCUCGAAACGGAUCC
rnacentral:rRNA from 1 species